AUUAGAGUGGCAGAAAAAAGUGCAUUAAAUUUAAAAUUUAAACAUGAGUUCUUAUAUUCCUCUAAUA
rnacentral:tRNA from 1 species